AGCCUAAACCUGCUUAAUGGCUGGCAUGGCACUAAACCACCUGCAUACCAAACUUGUCGUUUGGCUUCCACGCAUGUGGUUAUAGAGGAAACUCUAUAAGAGAGCUUCUGCUCUC
rnacentral:sRNA from 1 species